rnacentral:rRNA from 1 species
AACGAACGCUGGCGGCAUGCCUAACACAUGCAAGUCGAACGAGACCUUCGGGUCUAGUGGCGCACGGGUGCGUAACGCGUGGGAACCUGCCCUUAGGUUCGGAAUAACUCCCCGAAAGGGGUGCUAAUACCGGAUAAUGUCUUCGGACCAAAGAUUUAUCGCCUUUGGAUGGGCCCGCGUUCGAUUAGCUAGUUGGUAGGGUAAAAGCCUACCAAGGCGACGAUCCAUAGCUGGUCUGAGAGGAUGAUCAGCCACACUGGGACUGAGACACGGCCCAGACUCCUACGGGAGGCAGCAGUGGGGAAUAUUGGACGAUGGGCGAAAGCCUGAUCCAGCAAUGCCGCGUGAGUGAUGAAGGCCGUAGGGUUGUAAAGCUCUUUUACCCGGGAUGAUAAUGACAGUACCGGGAGAAUAAGCUCCGGCUAACUCCGUG